UUAACUCAGAUUUGUAUGGAGUUGGAACGUUUGCCUACGUUUGCCGCUAGGGGCGCUGUCCUAACUGCAUACAAAAAGUCA
rnacentral:pre_miRNA from 1 species